rnacentral:tRNA from 1 species
UUAAUUAAAGCCAAAAUAGAGGCAUAUUAUUGUUAAUAAUAAAAUUGAAUUUUUUUUUCUAAUUAAA